rnacentral:rRNA from 1 species
GACGAACGCUGGCGGCGUGCUUAACACAUGCAAGUCGAACGGAAAGGCCCUGCUUUUGUGGGGUGCUCGAGUGGCGAACGGGUGAGUAACACGUGAGUAACCUGCCCUUGACUUUGGGAUAACUUCAGGAAACUGGGGCUAAUACCGGAUAGGAGCUCCUGCUGCAUGGUGGGGGUUGGAAAGUUUCGGCGGUUGGGGAUGGACUCGCGGCUUAUCAUCUUGUUGGUGGGGUAGUGGCUUACCAAGGCUUUGACGGGUAGCCGGCCUGAGAGGGUGACCGGCCACAUUGGGACUGAGAUACGGCCCAGACUCCAACGGGAGGCAGCAGUGGCGAAUAUUGCACAAUGAGCGGAAGCCUGAUGCAGAAACGUCGCGUGUGGGAUGACGGCCUUCGGGUUGUAAACCGCUUUCGCCUGUGACGAAGCGUGAGUGACGGUAAUGGGUAAAGAAGCACCGGCUAACUACGUG